rfam:Eucalyptus grandis cultivar BRASTZ1 unplaced genomic scaffold scaffold_9, whole genome shotgun sequence.
CUUCUGCUGUGAUGAAAGAUGAAUAAAAAAUAAUGCACAUGUCAGACUUCGGAGAAUUACAUCAUUGAGAAGAAACACUCAAAACUCUCAGCAGAAG